rnacentral:rRNA from 1 species
GACAGAGGGUGCAAACGUUGUUCGGAAUUACUGGGCGUAAAGCGUGUGUAGGCGGCCUCGCAAGUCGGAUGUGAAAGCCCUGGGCUCAACCCAGGAAGUGCACUCGAUACUGGAUGGCUUGAGUUCGGGAGAGGGAUGCGGAAUUCCAGGUGUAGCGGUGAAAUGCGUAGAUAUCUGGAGGAACAUCGGUGGCGAAGGCGGCAUCCUGGACCGACACUGACGCUGAGGAGCGAAAGCCAGGGGAGCAAACGGG